rnacentral:rRNA from 1 species
AAUGAACGUUGGCGGCGUGGAUUAGGCAUGCAAGUCGAGCGAUAACCGUAGCAAUACGGGGACAGCGGCGAAAGGGAGAGUAACGCGUGGAUAAUCUACCCUCGGGACUGGGAUAGCCGCGGGAAACUGCGGGUAAUACCGGAUAAUGUCUUCGGACCAAAGGUGCGAUUCCGCCCGGGGAUGAGUCCGCGUCCUAUUAGCUAGUUGGUGGGGUAAUGGCCUACCAAGGCGAAGAUGGGUACGGGGUGUGAGAGCAUGCCCCCGCUCACUGGGACUGAGACACUGCCCAGACACCUGCGGGUGGCUGCAGUCGGGAAUCUUCGGCAAUGGGCGCAAGCCUGACCGAGCGACGCCGCGUGCGGGAUGAAGGCCUUCGGGUUGUAAACCGCUGUCGGAGGGGAGGAAAUGCACGGGGGUUCUCCCUCGUGUUUGACCUAGCCUCAGAGGAAGGACGGGCUAAGUUCGUGCCAGCAGCCGCAGUAA